CGGCGGUGGAGGCUGGGGCCAGCGCCACCCUGGUGAGUGG
rnacentral:misc_RNA from 1 species